GAUGAAGAACGUAGCGAAAUGCGAUAAGUAAUGCGAAUUGCAGAAUUUCCGUGAGUCAUCGAAUCUUUGAACGCACAUUGCGCCCCCUGGUAUUCCGGAGGGCAUGUCUGUCCGAGCGUCAUUAGUCCAAUCUCAAGCCCGGCUUGUCGUUGGGUCGCACCGCCCGGGGCGGUGGACCCGAAAUAUAAUGACGGGGUCUAGCGGACCGUGGGCGCAGCGAGCUUUUACAGCACGCGUCCCGGCGUCAUCUAGACGCGUCUCCAACCAUACUCUCUGUAGGUUGACCUCGGAUCAGACAGGAUUACCCGCUGAACUUAAGCAUAUCAAUAAGCGGAGGA
rnacentral:misc_RNA from 1 species